rnacentral:rRNA from 1 species
UACGGGGGGGGCAAGCGUUGUUCGGAAUUACUGGGCGUAAAGGGCUCGUAGGUGGCCAACUAAGUCAGACGUGAAAUCCCCUCGGCUUAACCGGGGAACUGCGUCUGAUACUGGAUGGCUUGAGUUUGGGAGAGGGACGCGGAAUUCCAGGUGUAGCGGUGAAAUGCGUAGAUAUCUGGAGGAACACCGGUGGCGAAGGCGGCGUCCUGGACCAACACUGACACUGAGGAGCGAAAGCCAGGGGAGCAAACGGG